AUUGAACGCUGGCGGCAGGCUUAACACAUGCAAGUCGAGCGAGCGGCGGACGGGUGAGUAAUGUAUGGGGAUCUGCCCGAUAGAGGGGGAUAACUACUGGAAACGGUGGCUAAUACCGCCUACUAUCGGAUGAACCCAUAGGGGAUUAGCUAGUAGGUGGGGUAAAGGCUCACCUAGGCGAUGAUCUCUAGCUGGUCUGCGAGGAUGAUCAGCCACACUGGGACGGAGACACGGCGCAGACGCCGACGGGAGGCAGCAGUGGGGAAUCUUGCACAAUGGGCGCAAGCCUGAUGCAGCCAUGCAGCGUGUAUGAAGAAGGCCUUAGGGUUGUAAAGUACUUACAGCGGGGAGGCGUUACCCGCAGAAGAAGCAACGGCUAACUCCGUGCCAGCAGGCGCGGUAAUUC
rnacentral:rRNA from 1 species